rnacentral:rRNA from 1 species
AGACGGAGGGUGCAAGCGUUGUUCGGAUUUACUGGGCGUAAAGGGCGUGUAGGCGGAUCGACAAGCCGGUGGUGAAAGGCCAGGGCUUAACCCUGGAUGGUCUUCCGGAACUGUCGGUCUAGAGAGAGUCAGAGGCAGGUGGAAUUCCCGGUGUAGAGGUGAAAUUCGUAGAGAUCGGGAGGAACACCCGUGGCGAAGGCGGCCUGCUGGGACUCUUCUGACGCUGAGGCGCGAAAGCGUGGGUAGCAAACAGGAUUAGAAACCCCAGUAGUCC